rnacentral:rRNA from 1 species
GAACGCUGGCGGCAGGCCUAACACAUGCAAGUCGAACGGUAACAGGAAGAAGCUUGCUUCUUUGCUGACGAGUGGCGGACGGGUGAGUAAUGUCUGGGAAACUGCCUGAUGGAGGGGGAUAACUACUGGAAACGGUAGCUAAUACCGCAUAACGUCGCAAGACCAAAGAGGGGGACCUUCGGGCCUCUUGCCAUCGGAUGUGCCCAGAUGGGAUUAGCUAGUAGGUGGGGUAACGGCUCACCUAGGCGACGAUCCCUAGCUGGUCUGAGAGGAUGACCAGCCACACUGGAACUGAGACACGGUCCAGACUCCUACGGGAGGCAGCAGUGGGGAAUAUUGCACAAUGGGCGCAAGCCUGAUGCAGCCAUGCCGCGUGUAUGAAGAAGGCCUUCGGGUUGUAAAGUACUUUCAGCGGGGAGGAAGGGAGUAAAGUUAAUACCUUUGCUCAUUGACGUUACCCGCAGAAGAAGCACCGGCUAACUCCGUGCCAGCAGCCGCGGUAAUACGGAGGGUGCAAGCGUUAAUCGGAAUUACUGGGCGUAAAGCGCACGCAGGCGGUUUGUUAAGUCAGAUGUGAAAUCCCCGGGCUCAACCUGGGAACUGCAUCUGAUACUGGCAAGCUUGAGUCUCGUAGAGGGGGGUAGAAUUCCAGGUGUAGCGGUGAAAUGCGUAGAGAUCUGGAGGAAUACCGGUGGCGAAGG